GUGCUUGCUUCAGCAGAACAUACACUAAAAUUGGAAGGAUACAGAGAUUAGCAUUGCCCCUGUGCAAGGAUGACAUGCAAAUUUGUGAAGCAUUCUAUAAUUUU